UUAACAUAGCAUAUGUAUCCAUUAUCAAAAUUAUACGUGUGGUGGAUAUCUGUUUAACAAAUAUUUGACCAGUUCAAAUAUAAUUAAAUUCAAUUAAGCAUAACCAGUUUUUCAGCCCUAGUGUGGUAAACAUAAGGACCACUUACUAAAAAGUGGGUUGAAAAUUCUUCACGUAAGCUGUAUAACAUUGAUAGACUUGGCCUUAUCCAUAGGGUGGGUCCUUUCCUGAAGCGCGACCUCUCCGACGACUUCCAAGCGACUCCUGCCAUUGACUUGCUCCAGCCUCCACCGUCGUUAAUUUAUUCAUGGGCGGCCCUCUUCCUUUCCUUGACGCUUAAAAUCACCUACACUCAUUUCAAAUAAGGAGCUAGCUAAGCUAUCUUCUCCGACGAAACAAAAAAAAAAGAAUACAUACCUUGAACAAAUCAAUACAAUAAUGAGGAGAUUGGGCACACACGUGUGUCUCUCUUCUCUUUUACUUGUUAUUUCUAUCAUCCAUCAUCUCGCCUCGGCUGCCGACAAGUACAUACCAGUCGAUCACAUAUUC
rnacentral:lncRNA from 1 species